rnacentral:lncRNA from 1 species
GAGGCAUUGGUCUUCCCAGGGAAGACAAGAUGUGUGCCAUGGCAGUCUCAUAUGAGGGAAAAUCAGUCUUCAUGAAUCAAGUCAGUAAAGAGGAAGGUGGAAAGAAGGAAGCUGCAUUUUAUUUCAUAUUUAACAGCAGGAUUGCUGAAAACAUAAAUAUUUUAAUUUUUAGGCACACAUUUUAAAGAAAAAAAGUAGUUAAUCUCCCGAGGAAACAAGAAAUAUUCUGUAUGGGUUUUCCCUCUUCAUUCUCUUUGCCCUUCCUGUCAAGGAACUGCAUACCAACCUGCUUCUGGCCCAUUGUGCCCUCAUCCCUCCUGACUAUACUCUCAUUUUUAUGACCCAAACAGCAGUCCCAAAAGCUCCUUUCUCAGGGGCUUGUGACAUGUAUCUGGGCUGUGACUCACCUGCAGCACUCCGGGCAUCGUGUUGGUUGGUGACAGUAAGGACACCCUGUCUUACAGCAAGCAGAGCCUAACUGAGGAACUCGUGAUGUGAGCCCUAGGCAGGAGCUGGACGUGGGCAGCAGCAGCAGGAGCAGCCUGGUGUGGAGCUUCCUGGAGAACACCCACAGUUUUACAAAGCAAUAGCACACCUCAGAAGAGAUGCUUGAUUUCAAGAAAGAAAACUAUCCACGGCAGGUUGAAGCCACAGGGGCAGUCCUGACUUGCCUUUCUCCAUCCAACUACUUUACUUCAGAAAGUGUCCCUUCAAAAAACAGCAACUCCCAGGGAUCAGUGCCUAACACGAUGCUGUGGUCUUGCUGAGCCCUUGCCGACCCUUGGCAGCGAGGCUGUGCCGAGCAGGAGGAUUGCAGUGAACCUCUUCCCAUGCCCCAAAUGCUGAGUGUGGCAAAACCCUCUGGGAGGGUAACACAGUGGGUGAUUGAUUGUACCCGCCAGCUGGCUAAUAUCAUAAUUAACAAAGUUGCUACCAUGUCUGAGAAGUUUAAUCGAAAAAAUUGCCGGCAGUAUGAUGCCAUUGUCACAGAGAUCACAAGCGCAGCAGUGUUGACUUUUGUACUGGUGGAGCCGCAGGACUAUGUAGAUGUGCUGAAAAGUCGUUCGCUGGGAUAA